rnacentral:rRNA from 1 species
GUUGUAUAGUCAAGUAAUUAAGUGCAUGUGGUGGAUGCCUUGGCAGUCAGAGGCGAUGAAAGACGUGAUAGCCUGCGAAAAGCUCCGGGGAGGCGGCAAAUAUCCUUUGAUCCGGAGAUGUCUGAAUGGGGGAACCCACCUACUUUAAGGUAGGUAUUGCAACAUGAAUACAUAGUGUUGCAAGGCGAACGAGGGGAAGUGAAACAUCUCAGUACCCUUAGGAAAAGAAAUCAAUUGAGAUUCCCUCAGUAGCGGCGAGCGAACGGGGAUCAGCCCAUUAAGUUAUGUGUGUUUUAGUGGAACGCUCUGGGAAGUGCGAACGUAGAGGGUGAUAUUCCCGUACACGAAAGGGCACACAUAAUGAUGACGAGUAGGGCGAGGCACGUGAAACCUUGUCUGAAUAUGGGGGGACCAUCCUCCAAGGCUAAAUACUCCUGACUGACCGAUAGUGAACCAGUACCGUGAGGGAAAGGCGAAAAGAACCCCUGUGAGGGGAGUGAAAUAGAUCCUGAAACCGCAUGCAUACAAGCAGUGGGAGCACCUUCGUGGUGUGACUGCGUACCUUUUGUAUAAUGGGUCAGCGACUUAUAUUCAGUAGCAAGGUUAACCGUAUAGGGGAGCCGUAGAGAAAUCGAGUCUUAAUAGGGCGUUUAGUUGCUGGGUAUAGACCCGAAACCAGGCGAUCUAUCCAUGAGCAGGUUGAAGGUUGGGUAACACUAACUGGAGGACCGAACCCACUGUCGUUGAAAAGCCAGGGGAUGACUUGUGGAUAGGGGUGAAAGGCUAAUCAAGCCUGGUGAUAGCUGGUUCUCCCCGAAAGCUAUUUAGGUAGCGCCUCGGACGAAUACCAUAGGGGGUAGAGCACUGUUUCGGCUAGGGGGUCAUCCCGACUUACCAAACCGAUGCAAACUCCGAAUACCUAUGAGUACUAUCCGGGAGACAGACUGCGGGUGCUAACGUCCGUAGUCAAGAGGAAAACAAUCCAGACCGCCAGCUAAGGCCCCAAAAUCAUAGUUAAGUGGGAAACGAUGUGGGAAGGCAUAGACAGCUAGGAGGUUGGCUUAGAAGCAGCCACCCUUUAAAGAAAGCGUAAUAGCUCACUAGUCGAGUCGGCCUGCGCGGAAGAUGUAACGGGGCUAAAACUAUGUGCCGAAGCUGCGGAUNNNNNNNNNNNNNNAUGCUGGAGGUAUCAGAAGUGCGAAUGCUGACGUGAGUAACGACAAAACGGGUGAAAAACCCGUUCGCCGAAAGACCAAGGGUUCCAGUCCAACGUUAAUCGGGGCUGGGUGAGUCGACCCCUAAGGCGAGGCCGAAAGGCGUAGUCGAUGGGAAAAUGGUUAAUAUUCCAUUACUUCUGUGUAAUGCGAUGAGAGGACGGAGAAGGCUAAAUCAGCCUGGCGUUGGUUGUCCAGGUGAAAGGAUGUAGGCAUGUAUCUUAGGCAAAUCCGGGGUACUCUAUGCUGAGAUCUGAUAGCAAGCUGUACUUGUACAGCGAAGUGGUUGAUGCCAUGCUUCCAGGAAAAGUCUCUAAGCUUCAGUUACACAGGAAUCGUACCCGAAACCGACACAGGUGGUCAGGUCGAGUAGACCAAGGCGCUUGAGAGAACUCUGCUGAAGGAACUAGGCAAAAUGGUACCGUAACUUCGGGAGAAGGUACGCUGUUGUUGGUGAUGGAACUCGCUUCCUGAGCUGACGACAGCCGCAGAAACCAGGCCGCUGCAACUGUUUAUUAAAAACAUAGCACUCUGCAAACACGAAAGUGGACGUAUAGGGUGUGAUGCCUGCCCGGUGCUGGAAGGUUAAUUGAUGGGGUUAGCGUAAGCGAAGCUCUUGAUCGAAGCCCCAGUAAACGGCGGCCGUAACUAUAACGGUCCUAAGGUAGCGAAAUUCCUUGUCGGGUAAGUUCCGACCUGCACGAAUGGCAUAAUGAUGGCGGCGCUGUCUCCAGCAGAGGCUCAGUGAAAUCGAAAUCGCUGUGAAGAUGCAGUGUACCCGCGGCUAGACGGAAAGACCCCGUGAACCUUUACUGCAGCUUGACACUGAACUUUGACCUUACUUGUGUAGGAUAGGUGGGAGGCUUUGAAGCUGGAACGCUAGUUCCAGUGGAGCCGUCCUUGAAAUACCACCCUGGUAAUGUUGAGGUUCUAACUCUGUCCCGUGAUCCGGGACGAGGACCGUGUCUGGUGGGUAGUUUGACUGGGGCGGUCUCCUCCUAAAGAGUAACGGAGGAGUACGAAGGUGCGCUCAGCGUGGUCGGAAAUCACGCGUAGAGUAUAAAGGCAAAAGCGCGCUUAACUGCGAGACCCACAAGUCGAGCAGGUACGAAAGUAGGUCUUAGUGAUCCGGUGGUUCUGUAUGGAAGGGCCAUCGCUCAACGGAUAAAAGGUACUCUGGGGAUAACAGGCUGAUACCGCCCAAGAGUUCAUAUCGACGGCGGUGUUUGGCACCUCGAUGUCGGCUCAUCUCAUCCUGGGGCUGAAGCAGGUCCCAAGGGUAUGGCUGUUCGCCAUUUAAAGAGGUACGCGAGCUGGGUUUAGAACGUCGUGAGACAGUUCGGUCCCUAUCUACCGUGGGCGCUGGAAAUUUGAGAGGAUCUGCUCCUAGUACGAGAGGACCAGAGUGGACGAACCUCUGGUGUACCGGUUGUGACGCCAGUCGCAUCGCCGGGUAGCUAUGUUCGGAAGGGAUAACCGCUGAAAGCAUCUAAGCGGGAAGCCUACCUCAAGAUAAGAUUUCCCUAGGACUUUAUGUCCUCUAAAGAGCCGUUCGAGACUAGGACGUUGAUAGGUUGGAUGUGGAAGCAUAGUGAUAUGUGAAGCUGACCAAUACUAAUUGCUCGUGAGGCUUGACUAUACAACACCCAAGCAGUUG